rnacentral:tRNA from 1 species
GGCUGUGGCUCAGUGGCAGAGCGCUUGCCUAGCAUGUGUGAGGCACUGGGUUCAAUUCUCAGCACCA